rnacentral:rRNA from 1 species
GCCUACGGGGCGCAGCAGUAGGGAAUUUUCGUCAAUGGGCGCAAGCCUGAACGAGCAAUGCCGCGUGAACGAGGAAGGUCUUCCGAUCGUAAAGUUCUGUUGAAGGGGAAAAAGAGCGGAGAGAGGAAAUGGUCUCCGAUUGAUAUUACCCUUCGAGGAAGUCACGGCUAACUACGUGCCAGCAGCCGCGGUAAUACGUAGGUGGCGAGCGUUAUCCGGAAUGGUUGGGCGUAAAGGGUGCGUAGGCGGCCUGCUAAGUCUGGAGUGAAAGGUACCGGCUCAACCGGUACAGGCUCUGGAAACUG